rnacentral:rRNA from 1 species
AUCGAACGCUGGCGGCAGGCUUAACACAUGCAAGUCGAGCGGGGUGAUGGUGCUUGCACUAUCACUUAGCGGCGGACGGGUGAGUAAUGCUUAGGAAUCUGCCUAUUAGUGGGGGACAACAUCUCGAAAGGGAUGCUAAUACCGCAUACGUCCUACGGGAGAAAGCAGGGGAUCACUUGUGACCUUGCGCUAAUAGAUGAGCCUAAGUCGGAUUAGCUAGUUGGUGGGGUAAAGGCCUACCAAGGCGACGAUCUGUAGCGGGUCUGAGAGGAUGAUCCACCACACUGGGACUGAGACACGGCCCAGACUCCUACGGGAGGCAGCAGUGGGGAAUAUUGGACAAUGGGGGGGACCCUGAUCCAGCCAUGCCGCGUGUGUGAAGAAGGCCUUAUGGUUGUAAAGCACUUUAAGCGAGGAGGAGGCUCUUUUGGUUAAUACCCAAGAUGAGUGGACGUUACUCGCAGAAUAAGCACCGGCUAACUCUGUGCCAGCCGCCGCAGUAA